CCUACGGGGGGCAGCAGUGGGGAAUAUUGCACAAUGGGGGAAACCCUGAUGCAGCGACGCCGCGUGAGUGAAGAAGUAUUUCGGUAUGUAAAGCUCUAUCAGCAGGGAAGAAAAUGACGGUACCUGAUUAAGAAGCCCCGGCUAACUACGUGCCAGCAGCCGCGGUAAUACGUAGGGGGCAAGCGUUAUCCGGAUUUACUGGGUGUAAAGGGAGCGUAGACGGCAGCACAAGUCUGGAGUGAAAUGCCGGGGCUUAACCCCGGAACUGCUUUGGAAACUGUGCAGCUAGAGUGCAGGAGAGGUAAGUGGAAUUCCUGGGGUGGGGGUGAAAGGCGUAGAUAUUGGGAGGAACACCAGGG
rnacentral:rRNA from 1 species